AAAAAAAUGCCCCAGGAACACCAAACACGAUGUUCAUCGAAAUGGGUCUUUGAAAAUGUUGUGCAUGUCUGAAACCUUUUCUUGAUUUAAAGAAGUGAAUUCACAUGCCUGCCCUUGCUCACACAAAACAGCAAACUCUGCACCCUCUUCCUUCCUCUUUAGCACUCAGUUUCAGUUACACAAUGUGAAGCUGUUUAAAAAACAACUACUGCAUUUUUAAGCGUCUUCAGCGGUUUGAUAGGGGCUUUAGUGGUGGGGCUGCACUUCUGCAUAAAUGAACUUCAGCUAAGGUUCACUUUGUCUGGGAUGAGGGGGCCAGCAAAGUUUUUUUUUAACUCAAGGAGUUUCUCUUUAGCUCCUAUUCUAGUCCAGGCAAACACCAAAACCCUUCAUUGUUGAGGUGGAUGCGUCUGACACUGGAGUAGGGCCUGUAUUUUCAGGGUGUCUGAUAACAAAAUCCAUCCCUUCACAUGUUUCUCCCACAACCUCAGUCCUUCGGAAAGAAAUUACGACUUAGAGAACUGGGAGCUCCUGGCAGUCAAGCAAGCUCUCCAGGAGUGGUGGCAUUGGUUGGAUGGUGUGAAACAGCCGUUCAUGGUGUGGGCCGACCACAAAAAUCUGGAAUACAUCUGUGCUGUCAAGCACGCUGGGCUUUGUUCUUCGACAGGUUUCACUUCACUCUCCUGCCGACCUGGAAGCAAGAACAUGGAGAGUGCCCUUUAUCUUGAGCACCAGAGGGAAGUGGAAAUCGAGGAUUUUGAGGGUGAGGCCACAAUCUUGCCUCACAACAUUGUGCUGUGAAUAACUCGGUGGACUCUUGAGUGUAAGGUUAAAUCUUCCAUCCCUGAUCCGUCUACUAUUCCUGCUCCUCAUGUGCUAAAGUGGGGACACUCUUCUCGUUUGGCUUGUCACCCUGAAUUUACUCGGACUGCCUUUCUAGUGGUGCAACGCUUUUGGUGGCCAACUAUGUCUUCUGACAUACUGGUAAGCGCUUUUGUGUCAUCUUGUUGUGUUUGUGUGGGUGUGUAUGUGCGAGUGUUAAGGUUCCUUGGAACCCCCCCUGCUGGACUCCUGUAGCCUCUACCUGUGCCCUCCAGACCUUGGUCCUAUUUUGCUAUGGACCUUAUAACGGGACUUCCUAGAUCCAAAGGUAAAACUGUUAUUCUGACAAUUUCAAACAUAUUUUCUAAGUUGGUUCAUAUCAUUCCAUUGCCAAAGCUUCCAUCUGCCAAAGAGUUAGCAGUAAUAAACUCCCAGCAUGUGUUUCGUCUACAAAACUUCCCGUAAAGAUCACCUCCGACAGAAGUCUUCAGUUUGUGGCAACUUUUUGGAAGGAGUUCUGCAGACUCCUUGGGAUCAAGGUCAGUUUGAGCUCUGGGUUCCAUCAACAGACUAAUUGCCAGUUAAAGGGCUACAACCAGGAUCUGGGGACUACUCUGCGAGCCAUGUACACAAAGAACCCCAACAGGUGGUCCUCUCAACUGACGUGGGCAGAGUACUCCUAAAAUGCUCUUGUCAACUCAUCAGGCUUCACCCCCUUCCAAACACCCUGGGGUACCAGCCACCCCUCUUCCCCCACCAAGAACAUCUGGCCUCAUCAUCAGGUCCAACAGCUUUUGUUAGCCACUGCCAGCGCACUUGGAGGGUGUUUCGAGAAAGAAUACUGAGGAACCAGGAAAGGCUAACCACCAUGGCUAAUCGCAGACAGGUUGCUGCUCCAGAGUAUAAGGUGGGAGACAGUGUGGCUUUCUUCCACUGUAACACUAAGAGAGGGUUCCAAAAAACAACAUCCUUGCCACAUUGGUCCCUUCUCCAUCACAAAGAUCAUCAACUCUGUGGCAGUUGAGCUGGAUAUCCCUUCCAUCGUCAGGAUCCAUCCAGUUUUCUACAUCAGUAAGUUAAAACCUGGAAGAGACUCUCCUCUCCAACCUCCUUCAAAAUCCCCUCCUGUACCUUGUCUCAUGGAUAGUGGUCCAGUCUUCACCAUUCCUGCCUCCAAGAUGGUUGUUUAAGUUAUCCAGUAUCUGGUCGAAUUGGAGGGUUACGGGCCAGCAGAUUACCAGUGGGCGCUAGAGCGCCACAUCCUCAUCAAGGACCUGAUCACCCGCUUUCAUUGGAACCAUUCUGACCAACCUCAUCGGUCUGGGAGCUGGAAAUAGGGGAGGGGUUAUGUCAUGUUCUGCUUGUUUUGUUUUUCAGUCGUUUUCUUUGGCUUCCUUCUGGCUGUGACUCAUGUGUCCAUUCUCCUGUGGAACCUGUUAAUCAGUCACAGCUGUCUGCAUUUUUGUAAUUAGUCUCAGUGUAUUAAAGGAACUCUGCUGGAGCCUUUAGUGUUGGCUUAUUCUGGCUCCUGACUAGUUUGCUGAGGCCUGAUUAUUCCUUGAAUAUGUAUUUUGUAAAUUAAAAUACCUGGACUUUGCUACUAAUGUGCUUGUGGUGCUUCCUGGAUCUGGGUUUCCUCCUGCUUGCCAAACCAUGACAAAGUGAGGACAGCCCCACCCGUGCAGGUCCCGCAGGUAAAUCAGAGACACCAGGGCACACCCAGGGCAGGAAAGGCCCAGGAUCACCUUACGGCCUAGCUGAAAAGUCCUUCUCAAACAGCAGAAGCAUCGAAGUCCAACUUUGAACAAAGAGCCCUGGGGAGUCAGGGGACCAGACCCCUUUUCAGGGCUUUGUGUCGGCAUGGGGACUUGGACUGCACUCAAGAAGCAGGAUUGGAGAUGCACAGGUGAUCAAGUCAUCAGAUCAAAGGCUCUGGAAACUUCAAAAACAAGAUCAGGAGCUUUAAAGACUCAAUGAAUGAAUCCCUUUGAAAACCCUUUGACAUUCACAGAUAUACAAAAAAAUGGCAUUGCUUUUGGGCAUAGUGCAUAAAUACAUUAAUGUUAUUUGUUGUGUAUUCACUUGUGCUUUCAUUAGCAAGUUUGCGUGUGUUUGCGUAUGAGUGUUUUAUGGAGUUUGGGUGUGCAUACGCGUGUGUCUAAUGAACUAUGCUUGUUUUUUUGUCUGUUUCUGUGCAUGUAUGCAUGUGUUUUAUGGAGUGUGCAUUUUUCUGUGUACCCAUCUGAGUGUUUCUAAAUGCAAUUGUGUGUUUCUGUAUGCCUAUGCAUGUGUGUAUUUUUCAUGGUGUGCUUGUUUCUGUGUUCGUAGUUGUGUGUGCUUUACGGAGUGUGCGCUUUUCUCUGUGCAUAUGCAUGAGAAUUAUAGAAGGGGCAGCUUUCCAUGUGAAUGUGACGUGCACACGCAUGCAUGUUGCGUGCACAUUAACUGGAAAUGGAUUAACGGGGUGGGGUGGGUGGACGGGACUUUUGACAUCGUCUUGUACCUUAUCAGAAAGUAGGUGGAACUUAUAGCACAUGACCAAGGAGACAAGCAUUCCAGUGGUCAAAAUGAAGCAGUUAAGUGGGAUGUGCUUGUCCCUUCUCCAGCACGUCACCUGGAUAUAGAGAGGGUGUAUCAGGAUGUAGGGGGGUAACAAUGAAUGUAUUGUUUUGAUGACUUUGUAGAUUAUGUGUUAAAAAAGUAUGCAAACAAUGCACAGGGGAAGGUGA